UACGUAGGGGGCGAGCGUUGUCCGGAUUUAUUGGGCGUAAAGAGCGUGUAGGCGGCCAGGUAGGUCUGCUGUGAAAACUCGAGGCUCAACCUCGAGACGUCGGCGGAAACCAUCUGGCUAGAGUCCGGAAGAGGAGAGUGGAAUUCCUGGUGUAGCGGUGAAAUGCGCAGAUAUCAGGAAGAACACCCGUGGCGAAGGCGGCUCUCUGGGCAUUACCUGACGCUGAGGAGCGAAAGUGUGGGGAGCGAACAGG
rnacentral:rRNA from 1 species